rnacentral:rRNA from 1 species
AACGAACGCUGGCGGCAGGCUUAACACAUGCAAGUCGAACGCACCUUUCGGGGUGAGUGGCAGACGGGUGAGUAACGCGUGGGAAUCUACCCUUCUCUACGGGAUAGCUCCGGGAAACUGGAAUUAAUACCGUAUACGUCCUGAGGGGGAAAGAUUUAUCGGGGAAGGAUGAGCCCGCGUUGGAUUAGCUAGUUGGUGGGGUAAAGGCCUACCAAGGCGACGAUCCAUAGCUGGUCUAAGAGGAUGAUCAGCCACAUUGGGACUGAGACACGGCCCAAACUCCUACGGGAGGCAGCAGUGGGGAAUAUUAGACAAUGGGCGCAAGCCUGAUCCAGCCAUGCCGCGUGAGUGAUGAAGGCCCUAGGGUUGUAAAGCUCUUUCAGUGGGGACGAUAAUGACGGUACCCACAGAAGAAGCCCCGGCUAACUUCGUGCCAGCAGCCGCUGUAA